UCUUAUAUGUGUGUAAAUUAAAAUGAUAUUUCAGAACAAACAUGUAUACAUAUACUAUCGGAAUGACUGGCAAUUUAAGCUGAUCUAGACAGUGCAAUUUAUUUUCUUACGCUAAUCACAAGGCUAUCGCAACCGGUCUCCCGUUGAGUGCGUUUGCCUUUUGAUAGACUUCAGAUAUUGAGGUCCGGAUGAACCUAAGAAAAUGUAGAAGGUCCGGAUGAACCUAAGAAAAUGGAGUAAAACAUUGGAUGACACGAGGCUGAAGAGCAAAUGUGUGAUAUAGGGAAAAGCAGUUCAAGGUACAUGUAUCUCAAACUCAAGGACUUUCAUCGGACUAGAUAUUCCUAUUUGCCAUCAGCCUCAACACGUUUGCAUUCAAUGAGGUGGUGGGUUCAGGACUAAUAUCUGCCUUCAAUGAGGUGGUGGGUUCAGGACUAAUAUCUGCCUUCAAUGAGGUGGUGGGUUCAGGACUAAUAUCUGCCUUCAAAAUUGUCUCCGGUUUAUACUUUUAAUUCGAUUUUCAUAAAACGAUUAAUACAUGC